GCACGUCUGUCAAACGAUAAAGCAAGGUGUUUUAAGGGUGAGCUCAAAGAGGACAGAAAUCUCAAGUAGAACAAAGGGGAAAAAGCUCACUGGAUUUUGAUUUUCGGUAGGAAUACAAACUGUGAACGGGGGGCCUAGCAUGGCCUAUCGAUCCUUUAGUCUUUAGGAGUUUUAAGCUAGAGGGUGUCAGAAAAGUUACCACAGGGAUAACUGGCUUGUGGCAGCCAAGCGUUCAUAGCGAGCUCCCCCCCCCCCCUCUAAUCACUUUGAAUGAAAAUU
rnacentral:ncRNA from 1 species